GAUGAAGAACGUAGCAAAAUGCGAUAAGUAAUGUGAAUUGCAGAAUUCAGUGAAUCAUCGAAUCUUUGAACGCACAUUGCGCCCGCUGGUAUUCCGGCGGGCAUGCCUGUUCGAGCGUCAUUUCAACCCUCAAGCCCCCGGGUUUGGUGUUGGGGAUCGGCUCUGCCCUUCUGGGCGGUGCCGCCCCCGAAAUAGAUUGGCGGUCUCGCUGCAGCCUCCAUUGCGUAGUAGCUAACACCUCGCAACUGGAACGCGGCGCGGCCAUGCCGUAAAACCCCAACUUCUGAAUGUUGACCUCGGAUCAGGUAGGAAUACCCGCUGAACUUAAGCAUAUCAAUAAGCGGAGGA
rnacentral:misc_RNA from 1 species